rnacentral:rRNA from 1 species
AACUGAAGAGUUUGAUCAUGGCUCAGAUUGAACGCUGGCGGCAGGCUUAACACAUGCAAGUCGAGCGGAGAGAGGUAGCUUGCUACCGAUCUUAGCGGCGGACGGGUGAGUAAUGCUUAGGAAUCUGCCUAUUAGUGGGGGACAACAUUUCGAAAGGAAUGCUAAUACCGCAUACGUCCUACGGGAGAAAGCAGGGGAUCUUCGGACCUUGCGCUAAUAGAUGAGCCUAAGUC